CCUACGGGGGGCAGCAGUGAGGAAUAUUGGUCAAUGGGCGCGAGCCUGAACCAGCCAAGUAGCGUGAAGGAUGACUGCCCUACGGGUUGUAAACUUCUUUUAUAAAGGAAUAAAGUGAGGCACGUGUGCCUUUUUGUAUGUACUUUAUGAAUAAGGAUCGGCUAACUCCGUGCCAGCAGCCGCGGGAAUACGGAGGAUACGAGCGUUAUCCGGAUUUAUUGGGGUGAAAGGGAGCGUAGAUGGGUUGUUAAGUCAGUUGUGAAAGUUUUCGGCUCAACCGUAAAAUUGCAAUUGAUACUGGCAGCCUUGAGUACAGUUGAGGUAGGCGGAAUUCGUGGUGUAGCGGUGAAAUGCUUAGAUAUCACGAAGAACUCCGAUGGCGAAGGCAGCUUACUAAGCUGCCACUGACAUUGAUGCUCGAAAGUGUGGGUAUCAAACAGGAUUAGAUACCCGAGUAGUC
rnacentral:rRNA from 1 species